CAUGGGUAACAGUCACCAGGCUUGACCCUGUAACACUGGAGAGGGGCUGUGACAUGGGUAACAGUCAGCAGGUUAGACCCUGUAACACUGGAGAGGGGCUGUGACAUGGGUAACAGUCAGCAGGUUAGACCCUGUAACACUGGAGAGGGGCUGUGACAUGGGUAACAGUCAGCAGGUUAGACCCUGUAACACUGGAGAGGGGCUGUGACAUGGGUAACAGUCAGCAGGUUAGACCCUGUAACACUGGAGAGGGGCUGUGACAUGGGUAACAGUCAGCAGGAUAGACCCUGUAACACUGGAGAGGGGCUGUGACAUGGAUAACAGUCACCAGGCUUGACCCUGUAACACUGGAGAGGGGCUGUGACAUGGGUAACAGUCAGCAGGUUAGACCCUGUAACACUGGAGAGGGGCUGUGACAUGGGUAACAGUCAGCAGGUUAGACCCUGUAACGCUGGGGAGGAAUACUGAGGAGUUGAAGUUUGUAUGGAAACAGGUGCCCCAAACCAUAUGGCUUUGAUUGGGGUCAUAGGGGAGCAUGUUUAACCACCAGAGAUGUAAUAGUCCUCAGAGACUUUGUCAGAACUUGGCUCUGACACCAACCAAGGACUUGUGACUUGCACAGUGUGAGACCAGAGGCUAAAGAGACAGAGGUGAGCGUCCCUAGAGACACGAGAGGACAGGAAGAGAAGGAACCUCCAGGGAGAGGAAGUGGCAGUUACAUCGUGGGAACUCAGGGAAUUCCCGGUUAUUUAUCACAGCCAUGUUCCAGACACCUUGCCAGAUACUUAUGUUUUAUCUCCAGUCCUUGAACUGAGUCUAAUUUC